GACGAACGCUGGCGGCGUGCUUAACACAUGCAAGUCGUACGGUAAGGCCCUUUCGGGGGUACACGAGUGGCGCACGGGUGAGUAACACGUGAGUAACCUGCCCACAACUUUGGGAUAACGCUAGGAAACUGGUGCUAAUACUGGAUAUGUGCUCCUGCUGCAUGGUGGGGGUUGGAAAGCUCCGGCGGUUGUGGAUGGACUCGCGGCCUAUCAGCUUGUUGGUGGGGUAGUGGCCUACCAAGGCGGCGACGGGUAGCCGGCCUGAGAGGGUGACCGGCCACAUUGGGACUGAGAGACGGCCCAGACUCCUACGGGAGGCAGCAGUGGGGAAUAUUGCACAAUGGGCGCAAGCCUGAUGCAGCAACGCCGCGUGCGGGAUGACGGCCUUCGGGUUGUAAACCGCUUUCAGCAGGGACGAAGCUUUUUGUGACGGUACCUGCAGAAGAAGCACCGGCUAACUACGUG
rnacentral:rRNA from 1 species